AUUGAACGCUGGCGGCAGGCCUAACACAUGCAAGUCGAACGAGUGGCGGACGGGUGAGUAAUGUCUGGGAAACUGCCUGAUGGAGGGGGAUAACUACUGGAAACGGUAGCUAAUACCGCAUACCAUCAGAUGUGCCCAGAUGGGAUAAGCUAGUUGGUGGGGUAACGGCUCACCAAGGCGACGAUCCCUAGCUGGUCUGAGAGGAUGCCAAGCGAAACUGGAACUGAGACACGGUCCAGACUCCUAGGGGAGACAGCAGUGGGGAAUAUUGCACAAUGGGCGAAAGCCUGAUGCAGCCAUGCCGCGUGUAUGAAGAAGGCCGUCGGGUUGUAAAGUACUUUCAGCGGGGAGGCGUUACCCGCAGAAGAAGCACCGGCUAACUCCGUGCCAGCAGCCGCGGUAAUA
rnacentral:rRNA from 1 species